CAGCCGCCACGGGAAUACGAAGGGGGCUAGCGUUGCUCGGAAUGACUGGGCGUAAAGGGCGAGUAGGCGGAUUGCACAGUCAGAUGUGAAAUUCCUGGGCUUAACCUGGGGGCUGCAUUUGAUACGUGGAGUCUAGAGUGUGAAAGAGGGUCGUGGAAUUCCCAGUGUAGAGGUGAAAUUCGUAGAUAUUGGGAAGAACACCGGUGGCGAAGGCGGCGACCUGGUUCAUGACUGACGCUGAGGCGCGAAAGCGUGGGGAGCAAACAGGAUUAGAUACCCCUGUAGUCCCUGUCUCUUAUAC
rnacentral:rRNA from 1 species